GACGAACGCUGGCGGCGUGCUUAACACAUGCAAGUCGAACGGAGUGCUCCUGAUUGAGGUUUCGGCCAAAUGAAGGAGUUGCUUAGUGGCGGACUGGUGAGUAACGCGUGAGGAACCUGCCUUUCAGAGGGGGACAACAGUUGGAAACAGCUGCUAAUACCGCAUAAUGCAACGAAAUCGCAUGACUUUGCUGCCAAAGAUUUAUCGCUCUGAGAUGGCCUCGCGUCUGAUUAGCUAGUUGGCGGGGUAACGGCCCACCAAGGCGACGAUCAGUAGCCGGACUGAGAGGUUGAACGGCCACAUUGGGACUGAGACACGGCCCAA
rnacentral:rRNA from 1 species